rnacentral:lncRNA from 1 species
AAGAAACUAAUGCGGCCUUUACUCCGUCACUUUAUUCUUUCAACAAUAUCCUUCGAUAGUCUUCUUCUGCCUCCAUCGCUGCCGAUUGACGAAAUCCAUUUUGCGGGUAAGUAACCUCUACUCUUUCAAGCCCUUCCACUGCUAAUGCAUGUGCCACUUUAUUCGCCAUUCUUGAGGUAUUUUUAAACACGCAUGCUUCGUAGCCAGAACUUAGCAUUUUUGUGCUUAAGCCAUAGGCACUGAUUCCCGAUUUAUAUAUUUUUCCAGAUUGCACCUUUUUUAUAACUGAUAGCGCAUUGCCUUCGAUUUCAACUUUUCCUAAUCCCAGAUCCAACCUUAAUUGAGCUGCCUGGACACAGGCAAUCGCCUCUGUUUCAAAAUCGGUUGGUAUAUGCUCAUUUAGGCGCAUGGUAAAGUUUAGCACCCUCCCACUUGAAUCUCUGACCACUAUCCCUGAGCAUGACCUAUUGCUUUGUUUGUGAAAUGCAGCAUCAAAGGUAAUUUUACGAACAAUUCCCCCGGUGAUCUCCAACGCUCCCCCUCUAUUCUUCGUGCAGGUAACCUUUUGUUAAACUCCUCUAGUUCCUGUAUGUAACUUGUGAUGAAACUGGCUAUUUUUUAUUCAUUUUGAAAUAUCCCCUCAUGUAGGUAUUUGUUCCUAGUCCACAAAGCCCAGAAUGAGCAAACUAUUAUUCGACAGUUUUAUAUUGAACCAUUAUUGUAAAGGUACAACAUCCAUUCUUUAAAAUGUCUUUUAUUUAAUUUCGGCAGCUAAUCUAUGGCUUUCUCCGGGUAUUCUUUGCAGCUAAACAAUCCCGAAAGGCACGCUUAGCAUUUUCCACUUCGCUUGUACAAUUAGGACACUUGGCAGAUCCCACUAUCCUCCUUUGGUAUAGAUUAAAGACCCUCGAAUUCAUAAUUUUUACUUUUGAAGGUAGAUCUAGGGACCAGAGUUUUUUUGAAAAAAGUGUUGUAAUCUUGUUGUUCAUUGUUGAGAGUAGUCGAGUGUGUCUCUUGUAUAAGUAUUUUGUAUCCACUCCUUACUGAGUAUUCGCCAGAAGCCUCACCUCACCAUACCAGUCUAUCUUUUUGUGGUGCAUAUGGAAAAGGAAUACACAAAAUCAUUUCAGCCUCUUCUUCAUUAAAGGUAGUUCUAAGUACCCCUUCCUUCCAACCAUUAGUAGUUUGGUCAAUUAAAUCCGACACAUAACGUAUAUGUUGAUUGUUUUCUUGUGUUUGAAUUUUGAAA